GUCCCUGGGUGAGUCGGGUCCUAAGGCGAGGCCGACAGGCGUAGUCGAAUGGAUGAACGGGUCGAUAUUCCCGUACCGGCUUUCAGCCGCCAAAACCGAGGCUUGGAGUACUAACCUCCGGGUCCGGGCUUACUGCUCCUUCGGGGGCGGGAUGCCCUGGCCUGUUGGGACCGAUCCUUGUAGUAGGUCAGCGCAGGAGUGACGCAGAAGGGUAGCCGGCCGCGGAGGUGGUCUUCCGUGGUCAAGCACGCAGGGCGUGGGACAGGCAAAUCCGUCCCGCAUGGGUCCGAGGGGCGAUGAUGGGGGCCUUAUAGCCCGAUAUCCGGUGAUCCCGGCUGCCGAGAAAAGCUUCGGCGUCAGGCUCAAAGCCGCCCGUACCCCAAACCGACACUGGUGGUCAGGUAGAGAAUACCAAAGCGAUCGAGCGAAUCCUGGUCAAGGAACUCGGCAAAUCACUCCCGUUCCUUCGGUUUAAGGGAGACCCCCGAUGGUGAACACACUUGCUGUGGGAGCUUUUGGGGGUGGCACAGACCAGGGGGUAGCGACUGUUUACCAAAAACACAGGUGCAUGCGAAGGCGCAAGCCGCUGUAUAUGCACUGACGCCUGCCCGGUGCCGGAAGGUUAAGAGGAUCCGUCAGCCUUCGGGUGAAGCGGUGAAUUCAAGCCCCGGUAAACGGCGGUGGUAACUAUAACCAUCCUAAGGUAGCGAAAUUCCUUGUCGGGUAAGUUCCGACCUGCACGAAUGGCGUAACGACUUCCCCACUGUCUCGACCAGGAGCUCGGCGAAAUUGCAGUACGAGUAAAGAUGCUCGUUAAGCGCAGAAGGACGAAAAGACCCCGGGACCUUUACUAUACCUUGGUAUUGGCAUUCGGUGUGGAUUGUGUAGCAUAGGCGGGAGGCCGAGAGGCGCGGUCGCCAGAUCGCGCGGAGCCGUAAGGUGAAAUACCGCUCUGUUCGCAUUGGAUGUCUAACCUCGAACAGUCAUCCUGUUCAGGGACAGUGCCUGGCGGGUAGUUUAACUGGGGCGGUUGCCUCCCAAAGAGUAACGGAGGCGCCCAAAGGUCCGCUCAGCCCGGUUGGCAAUCGGGUGGCGAGUGCAAGUGCACAAGCGGGCUUGACUGCGAGGACGACGGUCCGAGCAGGGACGAAAGUCGGGACUAGUGAUCCGGUGCCGGUGUACGGACGCGGCAUCGCUCAACGGAUAAAAGGUACCCCGGGGAUAACAGGCUGAUCAUUCCCAAGAGUCCAUAUCGACGGGAUGGUUUGGCACCUCGAUGUCGGCUCGUCGCAUCCUGGGGCUGGAGCAGGUCCCAAGGGUUCGGCUGUUCGCCGAUUAAAGCGGCACGCGAGCUGGGUUCAGAACGUCGUGAGACAGUUUGGUCUCUAUCCUCUGCGCUCGUUGGAAUGCUGAGGAGGCCUGCCCAUAGUACGAGAGGACCUGGGUGGACGAACCUCUGGUAUGCCGGUUGUCACGCCAGUGGCACGGCCGGUUGGCUACGUUCGGAAGGGAUAACCGCUGAAAGCAUCUAAGCGGGAAGCCUGCUCCAAGAUAAGCAUUCCGUGGAACCUUCGAGUUCCUGUAGUCCCCAUGCAGAACACGUGGUCGAUAGGCCGGACGUGGAAGCCCCGCGAGGGGUGGAGCCGACCGGUACUAACGGACGAAAGGCA
rnacentral:rRNA from 1 species